GCAGUCGUGGCCGAGUGGUUAAGGCGAUGGACGAGAAAUCCAUUGGGGUCUCCCCACACAGGUUCGAAUCCUGUCAACUGCG
rnacentral:tRNA from 2 species